GGAACCAAGAACCACAACAUUCUUUUCCUUUCUGAGGUCGUAGCCGCUGUGAGUCUUAGCUUCUCUCUGCAUCUGUGAGGUCAUCUCCCUUUCUGUAGAGCAUAUGAUCUUUACUGAUGCACCUGCAUCUGGCUCAGACUUAGUCACCCAGCCCUGAAAUUAUAUCAUAUCACAGGUCAUUCUCUGAGUCUCUUAAUGUGAGGCCUUGAGAGAAAAAUCAACAUGCCUUCUGUUGGAUGAAGACCAAUCAGCAAGAUGGUGUCCCCUUUUUAUAGAGUCGUUGCAAGGAUCAAGUGAGUUGAAAUCCGUAAGGUGCUUGGGAGAAUGCCUGGCGCCUGGAAGCACUGUAUAUUCCAAAAAAGGAGAUAUAAACAUGACCAUAAAAGACAUGAAAAGAUGUUUAACCCCAUUAGUCAUCGUGGAAAUGCAAAUGAAAACCACCAUACAGACACUAGAGUGGUUUAAAUUUGAAUGACUUCCAACACCAAAUGCCAGACAGGACAUAGAGCAACUGGAUGUCUCAUGCUCACAGGCAGAAGGGAAAACUACUGUGUGUGACAGGAAGAUGGACUUACCCAACCUUCAGCAUUCUCAAUCUCUUGUCUAUUAACAUGUGUUUGAAACAUUAUGCAUUCAAAGCAAACAUCUGGGAGGAAGAUGGGAGAAGCCUUCUUGCCCCUGUUCUACAGAAGUAAUUGAAGUUCAUGACAUUCAAGCUCAUUCACCAGCCAUCAAGUGCCUUAGAAAAUGCCAGUACUGAAAGUUCUAUGCACUCCAAGGUUGCAGAGAAAGGCAGAGAACCUGCAAUAUGCCUAGAGGAUGUCCUGCAUCCUCUACAGCCAGCGUUCCCUGCUUCCGUAGGAAAGCAGAAUAGCACGUUGCUUACAUCUUGCAUGAUAUGGCAAUUACCAUGAGGCAGAAGAGC
rnacentral:lncRNA from 1 species